UACGGGGGGGGGCAAGCGUUUGUUCGGAAUUAUUGGGCGUAAAGGGCGCGUAGGCGGCUGCACAAGUCAAAGGUGAAAUCCCUCGGCUCAACUGAGGAACUGCCUUUGAAACUGUGCGGCUUGAGGCCGAGAGGGGGUAGCGGAAUUCCCAGUGUAGCGGUGAAAUGCGUAGAUAUUGGGAGGAACACCAGUGGCGAAGGCGGGUCUCUGGACAGUUCCUGACGCUGAGGCACGAAGGUCAGGGGAGCAAACGGG
rnacentral:rRNA from 1 species